UACGUAGGAGGCAAGCGUUAUCCGGAAUGACUGGGCGUAAAGGGUGCGUAGGUGGUUCAGCAAGUUAGUAGCGUAACUCCGGGGCUCAACCUCGGCACUACUACUAAAACUGUUGGACUUGAGUGCAGGAGGGGCAACUGGAAUUCCUAGUGUAGCGGUGGAAUGCGUAGAUAUUAGGAGGAACACCAGUGGCGAAGGCGGCUUACUGGACGAUGACUGACGCUGAGGCUCGAAAGCGUGGGGAGCAAACAGG
rnacentral:rRNA from 1 species